UACGUAGGGAGCGAGCGUUGUCCGGAAUCAUUGGGCGUAAAGCGCGCGUAGGUGGCUUCGUAAGUCCGCUGUGAAAGUCAAAGGCUCAACCUUUGAAAGCCGGUGGAUACUGUGGAGCUAGAGUCCGGAAGAGGCGAGUGGAAUUCCUGGUGUAGCGGUGGAAUGCGCAGAUAUCAGGAGGAACACCAAUAGCGAAGGCAGCUCGCUGGGACGGUACUGACACUGAGGCGCGAAAGCGUGGGGAGCGAACAGG
rnacentral:rRNA from 1 species